rnacentral:rRNA from 1 species
AUUGAACGCUGGCGGCAUGCCUUACACAUGCAAGUCGAACGGCAGCACGGGAGCAAUCCUGGUGGCGAGUGGCGAACGGGUGAGUAAUAUAUCGGAACGUGCCCAGUCGUGGGGGAUAACGCAGCGAAAGCUGUGCUAAUACCGCAUACGAUCUAAGGAUGAAAGCGGGGGAUCGCAAGACCUCGCGCGAUUGGAGCGGCCGAUAUCAGAUUAGCUAGUUGGUGGGUAAAGGCCCACCAAGGCGACGAUCUGUAGCUGGUCUGAGAGGACGACCAGCCACACUGGAACUGAGACACGGUCCAGACUCCUACGGGAGGCAGCAGUGGGGAAUUUUGGACAAUGGGCGCAAGCCUGAUCCAGCAAUGCCGCGUGCAGGAUGAAGGCCUUCGGGUUGUAAACUGCUUUUGUACGGAACGAGACGGCCCUUUCUAAUACAGGGGGCUAAUGACGGUACCGUAAGAAUAAGCACCGGCUAACUACGUGCCAGCCGCCGCCGUAACAC